rnacentral:rRNA from 1 species
UACGUAGGGGGCAAGCGUUGUCCGGAUUUAUUGGGCGUAAAGAGCGUGUAGGCGGCCAUACAGGUCCGUUGUGAAAACUGGAGGCUUAACCUCCAGACGUCGAUGGAAACCGUAUGGCUAAAGUCCGGAAGAGGAGAGUGGAAUUCCUGGUGUAGCGGUGAAAUGCGCAGAUAUCAGGAAGAACACCCGUGGCGAAGGCGGCUCUCUGGGACGGUACUGACGCUGAGACGCGAAAGCGUGGGGAGCGAACAGG